GGUGUUAUGGCAGAGAGGUCAUUGCGGAGUACUGUUAAUACUUUAUUCAUAGGUUCGAUUCCUAUUAACACCU
rnacentral:tRNA from 1 species